GACCGCCAGUGAAAAUCGAUUUCCACUUGCGGUUUGAGUUAAGAAAAUCGCCAGUGGAAAUCGAUUUUCACUAGCGGUC
rnacentral:pre_miRNA from 7 species